rnacentral:rRNA from 1 species
UACGUAGGGUGCAAGCGUUGUCCGGAAUUAUUGGGCGUAAAGAGCUCGUAGGCGGUCUGUCGCGUCUGCUGUGAAAACUCGGGGCUUAACCCCGGGCCUGCAGUGGGUACGGGCAGACUAGAGUGCGGUAGGGGAGACUGGAAUUCCUGGUGUAGCGGUGAAAUGCGCAGAUAUCAGGAGGAACACCGGUGGCGAAGGCGGGUCUCUGGCCGUAACUGACGCUGAGGAGCGAAAGCAUGGGGAGCGAACAGG